rnacentral:rRNA from 1 species
AUUGAACGCUGGCGGCGUGCUUAACACAUGCAAGUCGAGCGGUAACGCGGGGGCAACCCUGGUGACGAGCGGCGAACGGGUGAGUAAUGCUUCGGAAUCUUCCUCGUAGUGGGGAAUAACAUGGGGAAACCCAUGCUAAUACCGCAUACGAACUACGGUUGAAAGCAGGGGAUCGCAAGACCUUGCGCUAUGAGAUGAGC